GUGUUCAUGCCCUCACGGGUAGAUCUCCCACCCUUGAAUAUAUUACCUUUGUUGCUUUGGCGGGCCGCAUCGUCCUCCGGCCCCGGCUGGGGAGUGCCCGCCAGAGGACCCCAAACUCUUUUGUUAAUGUCGUCUGAGUACUAUAUAAUAGUUAAAACUUUCAACAACGGAUCUCUUGGCUCU
rnacentral:misc_RNA from 1 species